AUGACCAUGAUGAGGUUCUACCAAGACCUGAAGACCAUCAACCCUUCCAACAUGGUCCUCUACGUCCUUCCCCCCAACCCCGUGGACCUCUACGUCACCAGGACCCCCAAGGUCACCUGCUGGGUGGUCAACUUGCCCAACGACUCCGGUUUCCAACUCUCCUGGUCCAAGGAGACCCCAGGUGUCCUCAGCCCGGACAUCUUGGACCUUCGAGAACAUUUCAACGGGACCUUCUCGGCCACCAGCACCUUGAGCGUCUCCGUGGACGCUUGGGAGGCUGGAGAACGUUUCACCUGCACCUUGAAGCACCAGGAGCUCCAGGUGCCCCUCAACAGGACCAUCGCCAAGAGGACAG